AUGUGGGCUCUCUUAAAUAAAGUCUCCUGAAAAUCUGGAGUUUCUUCCAUCACCUCAAACUCCAUUGGUUUUUACAGCCAGAAGUUAUGGGGAUUUAU